UACAGAGGUCUCAAGCGUUGUUCGGAUUCAUUGGGCGUAAAGGGUGCGUAGGCGGCUCGGUCAGUCGGGUGUGAAAUCCCUGGGCUCAACCUGGGAACUGCAUUCGAUACUGCCGAGCUAGAGUGUGGGAGAGGGUAGUGGAAUUCCCGGUGUAGCGGUGAAAUGCGUAGAUAUCGGGAGGAACAUCAGUGGCGAAGGCGACUGCCUGGCCCAACACUGACGCUGAGAUGCGAAAGCGUGGGUAGCAAACAGG
rnacentral:rRNA from 1 species